rnacentral:ncRNA from 1 species
GAUAGAGGCGCGGCUCUUCAAGAGUAGCGCGGGAAGGGCGCCGGGCCCGGUGAACCGCGUAAAAGGGGAGGCCGCCGAAGGGACGCUCCCGGUGGUGCGUUGACCUGGUCGCCCGGAUAAGAUCCGUUCGACUGUCGCCGCGAACGCGGCGGAGUGCUGUCUG